rnacentral:tRNA from 1 species
GAGAGUGUAGUAGAGAAGGUCUCUACAGCUGCCUGCUAAGCAGACUCAACCGAAAGGUUGCUGGUUCGAUCCCAGCACUCUCC